GCGCAAUGAGAGUGAAGGCGGACGCCUGGUUCGCCGAGGCAGGAGCCGCACUCGUUCGGCCCACUGUUGACCGAUCCGUGUCACGCUGUGGCGGGAUUCGAGUGAGAGCGUGCCUGUUGCGACCCGAAAGAUGGUGAACUAUGCCUGAAUAGGGCGAAGCCAGAGGAAACUCUGGUGGAAGCUCGCAGCGGUUCUGACGUGCAAAUCGAUCGUCAAAUUUGGGUAUAGGGGCGAAAGACUAAUCGAACCAUCUAGUAGCUGGUUCCCUCCGAAGUUUCCCUCAGGAUAGCUGGAGCCCGGAGCAGUUUUAUCAGGUAAAGCGAAUGAUUAGAGGUCUUGGGGUUGAAACAACCUCAACCUAUUCUCAAACUUUAAAUGGGUAAGAAGUCCGGCUUGUUCGGUUGAAGUCGGACGGUGGAAUGCCGGGGCUCCCAGUGGGCCAUUUUUGGUAAGCAGAACUGGCGAUGCGGGAUGAACCGAACGCCGGGUUAAGGUGCCCGAAUCGACGCUCAUCAGAUCCCAUGAAAGGUGUUGGUUGAUCU
rnacentral:rRNA from 1 species